UGAGUUUGAUCAUGGCUUAGAUUGAACGCUGGCGGCAGGCUUAACACAUGCAAGUCGAGCGGAGAGAGGUAGCUUGCUACUGAUCUUAGCGGCGGACGGGUGAGUAAUGCUUAGGAAUCUGCCUAUUAGUGGGGGACAACAUUUCGAAAGGAAUGCUAAUACCGCAUACGUCCUACGGGAGAAAGCAGGGGAUCUUCGGACCUUGCGCUAAUAGAUGAGCCUAAGUCGGAUUAGCUAGUUGGUGGGGUAAAGGCCUACCAAGGCGACGAUCUGUAGCGGGUCUGAGAGGAUGAUCCGCCACACUGGGACUGAGACACGGCCCAGACUCCGACGGGAGGCAGCAGUGGGGAAUAUUGGACAAUGGGCGCAAGCCUGAUCCAGCCAUGCCGCGUGUGUGAAGAAGGCCUUAUGGUUGUAAAGCACUUUAAGCGAGGAGGAGGCUACUUUAGUUAAUACCUAGAGAUAGUGGACGUUACUCGCAGAAUAAGCACCGGCUAACUCUGUGCCAGCAGCCGCGGUAAUACAGAGGGUGCAAGCGUUAAUCGGAUUUACUGGGCGUAAAGCGCGCGUAGGCGGCUAAUUAAGUCAAAUGUGAAAUCCCCGAGCUUAACUUGGGAAUUGCAUUCGAUACUGGUUAGCUAGAGUGUGGGAGAGGAUGGUAGAAUUCCAGGUGUAGCGGUGAAAUGCGUAGAGAUCUGGAGGAAUACCGAUGGCGAAGGCAGCCAUCUGGCCUAACACUGACGCUGAGGUGCGAAAGCAUGGGGAGCAAACAGGAUUAGAUACCCUGGUAGUCCAUGCCGUAAACGAUGUCUACUAGCCGUUGGGGCCUUUGAGGCUUUAGUGGCGCAGCUAACGCGAUAAGUAGACCGCCUGGGGAGUACGGUCGCAAGACUAAAACUCAAAUGAAUUGACGGGGGCCCGCACAAGCGGUGGAGCAUGUGGUUUAAUUCGAUGCAACGCGAGGAACCUUACCUGGCCUUGACAUAGUAAGAACUUUCCAGAGAUGGAUUGGUGCCUUCGGGAACUUACAUACAGGUGCUGCAUGGCUGUCGUCAGCUCGUGUCGUGAGAUGUUGGGUUAAGUCCCGCAACGAGCGCAACCCUUUUCCUUAUUUGCCAGCGAGUAAUGUCGGGAACUUUAAGGAUACUGCCAGUGACAAACUGGAGGAAGGCGGGGACGACGUCAAGUCAUCAUGGCCCUUACGGCCAGGGCUACACACGUGCUACAAUGGUCGGUACAAAGGGUUGCUACCUAGCGAUAGGAUGCUAAUCUCAAAAAGCCGAUCGUAGUCCGGAUUGGAGUCUGCAACUCGACUCCAUGAAGUCGGAAUCGCUAGUAAUCGCGGAUCAGAAUGCCGCGGUGAAUACGUUCCCGGGCCUUGUACACACCGCCCGUCACACCAUGGGAGUUUGUUGCACCAGAAGUAGCUAGCCUAACUGCAAAGAGGGCGGUUACCACGGUGUGGCCGAUGACUGGGGUGAAGUCGUAACAAGGUAACCAA
rnacentral:rRNA from 1 species